rnacentral:rRNA from 1 species
AGCGAACGCUGGCGGCAGGCCUAACACAUGCAAGUCGAACGAACCCUUCGGAGUUAGUGGCGGACGGGUGAGUAACACGUGGGAACGUGCCCUUAGGUUCGGAAUAACUCAGGGAAACUUGUGCUAAUACCGAAUGUGCUCUUCGGGCGAAAGAUUUAUCGCCUUUAGAGCGGCCCGCGUCUGAUUAGCUAGUUGGUGAGGUAAAGGCUCACCAAGGCGACGAUCAGUAGCUGGUCUGAGAGGAUGAUCAGCCACACUGGGACUGAGACACGGCCCAAACUCCUACGGGAGGCAGCAGUGGGGAAUCUUGCGCAAUGGGCGAAAGCCUGACGCAGCCAUGCCGCGUGAAUGAUGAAGGUCUUAGGAUUGUAAAGUUCUUUCACCGGGGACGAUAAUGACGGUACCCGGAGAAGAAGCCCCGGCUAACUUCGUG